UACGGAGGGGGCUAGCGUUGUUCGGAAUUACUGGGCGUAAAGCGCACGUAGGCGGCUUUGUAAGUUAGAGGUGAAAGCCCGGGGCUCAACUCGGAAUUGCCUUUAAGACUGCAUCGCUAGAAUUGUGGAGAGGUAAGUGGAAUUCCGAGUGUAGAGGUGAAAUUCGUAGAUAUUCGGAAGAACACCAGUGGCGAAGGCGACUUACUGGACACAUAUUGACG
rnacentral:rRNA from 1 species